CCAAUAGCGUAUAUUAAAGUUGUUGCAGUUAAAAAGCUCGUAGUUGAAUUUCGGGGUUGGUAGGUUGGUCAUGCCUCUGGUAUGUACUGGUCUCACUGAUUCCUCCUUCCUGAUGAGCCGUAAUGCCAUUAAUUUGGUGUUGCGGGGAAUUUGGACUGUUACUUUGAAAAAAUUAGAGUGUUUAAAGCAAGCUAACGCUUGAAUACAUUAGCAUGGAAUAAUGAAAUAGGACGUUCGAUCCUAUUUUGUUGGUUUCUAGGAUUGACGUAAUGAUUAAUAGGGAUAGUUGGGGGCAUUAGUAUUCAAUUGUCAGAGGUGAAAUUCUUGGAUUUAUUGAAGACUAACUACUGCGAAAGCAUUUGCCAAGGAUGUUUUCAUUAAUCAAGAACGAAAGUUAGGGGAUCGAAGACGAUCAGAUACCGUCGUAGUCUUAACCAUAAACUAUGCCGACUAGGGAUCGGAUGAUGUUAAUUUUUUAAUGACUCAUUCGGCGCCUUACG
rnacentral:rRNA from 1 species